GGUUUAAUCAGCCACAGCAAUUGAAAACACCUGUGUGUGUCUUCUUAGACAAUUCUUAGAUCAGCUGAUGAAGGUUUUGAAGACUCAGUGUUGGAAUUCAGCCCUUGUUGUGUUUAGAUUUCCCUCAGAAACCCGCUAAGAAUACAGUGAACAUGUGAUAUUGGCUGCUGUGAUCUCUGACAGUGUACACAGUGUCCAGUGGUGUGACAGAUUCCUGAAAUGCCUCUGAUGUGUGUCAGAUAUUGAAAGGUCAUCUAAUGAAAACCUAAGCGUGACUGACCAGGUGACGAACCGCCACGUGACACCAGUAUAUGUUACUUCAUAGCAGGAAUGCGUGACAUGUGAGUGACAAAAGUGUGACGGCAAAUUCUUAGUAAAACAAAUCAUGUGUCAUACUGGAAGUCAUACUUAGAUGCCGUUACCAGGAAAUGACUGACUAUGUGAGACAGUCAAUUUAAAGUGAUGAGGGCUCGGCUUGUGAGCACUUUGCCGAGCAUAAACUUGAUCACCGCCAGGAUGAUGCACACCAAGCCACUGACGAUGGACACGCUGAACAGGAAGUCAUCCUGAGAGAGACAGACAGAUGGACAGAGAGAUGACCAAGGGGAGAGAGAGAGGAGUGAGAGUCAGAGGAGGAGUGAGAGGACAAACAAGAGGAGGCACACGACCAUGAUCUAGGAGAGCAAUUGCCUCUGAUGAGAUUCAGGCCAUUUUGGUUGACCACGUGGGUCAAUCAUGGUCUGAAGAUGAGGGAGGCAGUGCUGACAGUCCAGCCAAGCUUGAACCGCUUCACUGUGGCUUCAAUCAUCCAGACAUACAGAAUGAGAAUAGAACUGAAAGACUACCAUGUCGUGGUGGAAGAGGAAGACUUUUGACACCUCAACAGGAGACUGAAAUAGUCAAUAUGAGUUCUUGAGCUCAAUGCAACUGCAGUUUCCUGUGAAUUCAUAUUUAAUGACAAAGUGGGGAUCAACCUUGCAAAAAGGCGGCAACGGGGAAGGAACGUCAUCAGCCAUUGCGCCAUUGUUGAGGUUCCUGGCCAGGGGGGGAACAUCACCAUAUACUCAACUAUAAAUCACCAAGGCGUCCUCCAUCACCAUUGAGCCCUCGGCCCCUACAAUACUACCUGUCUCAUCACUUUCCUGGACUCACUACACAAUAUCCUCACUCCAGCCGAGCAGAUGGAUGGCCCAGAGCAGCCCAGGUACGUUGUCAUCUGCUUGGCAUUGGCAGGUAUAUGAACACAGACCCUAUGAGCGCAUACCCCUUUCUACAAGCAACAGAGGAAGCAUGUGGUGAUAUAGCUGCUGAAGCAUAUCAGGUUGGCAGGGCUACUUUCCCCGCUGCUUGGCCAGGGAGAACAUUGCCUGUGAUGUCGAUGAGAUCCUGUGGCCAGACAGAAAUGAAAGGCAGCACCCAGCCUCAUUUUCUUUACAAUAUAUGCAGAAGCCUUAUUUUCUUUUUUCUACUGUUUGCUCUGUGUAUUCUGAACACUUUACAAAUACAACUGUGUUUGCUGAGAUGGAUACAGUAUUUCCAAAUAAAAGAACAUCCUAUUCUUGUA